CAGCAGCCGCGGUAAACCGUAGGAGGCGAGCGUUAUCCGGAUUUACUGGGCGUAAAGGGCGUCUAGGCGGUGUCCUAAGUUGGGCGUGAAAUCUCCCGGCUCAACCGGGAGGCGCCGUCCAAUACUGGGACACUUGAGGGCAGGAGAGGAAAGUGGAAUUCCCGGU
rnacentral:rRNA from 1 species